rnacentral:rRNA from 1 species
ACUCAAAGGAAUAGACGGGGGCCCGCACAAGCAGCGGAGCGUGUGGUUUAAUUCGAUGCUACACGAAGAACCUUACCAGGGUUUGACAUGCCAGUGGUAGAGAAGCGAAAGCGGAUCGACCCUUCGGGGAGCUGGCACAGGUGCUGCAUGGCUGUCGUCAGCUCGUGUCGUGAGAUGUUCGGUUAAGUCCGCUAACGAGCGCAACCCACGCCGUGUGUUACAAGUGUCACACGGGACUGCCGGUCUUAAGCCGGAGGAAGGUGUGGAUGACGUCAAGUCAGCAUGGCCUUUAUGUCCUGGGCUACACACACGCUACAAUGGCCAGUACAACAGGUUGCGAAGUCGCGAGGCGAAGCCAAUCCUGAAAGCUGGUCUCAGUUCAGAUUGUAGGCUGCAACCCGCCUGCAUGAAGAUGGAGUUGCUAGUAACCGCAGGUCAGCUAUACUGCGGUGAAUACGUUCCCGGGCCUUGUACACACCGCCCGU